rnacentral:rRNA from 1 species
GUUAGGAAUAUUGGACAAUGGGCGCAAGCCUGAUCCAGCCAUGCCGCGUGAGUGAUGAAGGCCUUCGGGUUGUAAAGCUCUUUAGCCGAUGAUUAUAAUGACUGUAGUCGGAAAAUAAGCCCCGGCUAACUUCGUGCCAGCAGCCGCGGUAAUACGAAGGGGGCGAGCGUUAUUCGGAAUCACUGGGCGUAAAGCGUGCGUAGGCGGCUUUGCAAGUUGGGAGUGAAAGCCCAGGGCUCAACCCUGGAAUUGCUCUCAAAACUGCAAGGCUCGAAUUCGGGAGAGGAUAGCGGAAUUGUCAGUGUAGCAGUGAAAUGCGUAGAUAUUGACAGGAACACCAGUAGCGUAAGCGGCUAUCUGGACCGAUAUUGACGCUGAGGCACGAAAGCGUGGGGAUCAAACAGGAUUAGAUACCCGUGUAGUCC